UAAAACACAAGCCUUCUUUGUGAAAAGCUUUACGACCUACGAUGUUCUCUUUCACGCAGAUCUUCUCUUCCAAGAACAACUCUGCUGCAAUAAACUUUCACGCUCCAAUCGUUCAAUUAAAGCCUUCGAUGUCUACUGCCGCUGUUGCUUGCGAUACCUUCUGCCACCGCUGGAGUUCCCUUGUCGGUACCUUCGACGCCAGAAAACCCUAAUUAACAGUGUCGCCGGUUGCUGCCUCUUGCCGCCGCCGGUGUUCUUCCCGUCGGUUCCUUUGACGACGAAAAACAGCUUUGAUUGCAGGCACGCCCGUUAUUCAAAGACAGUAGGAAAUUCGGGCGGAUGGCGGACCCCAUGCUCCAAGGGCAGUACUCUGUAAGAGGUUUGCAUCAGGCACUUGCAGUGGCUGCAAUGUGUGUACAAGAGCAGCCCAACUCGCGACCCGUGAUUGCAGAUGUAGUUACAGCCCUCACAUAUCUUGCUUCUCAAAAGUAUGACCCACGGGCCUACCCGCCUCAAACCACUAGCUCGGUCUCUUCUGCCCCUGGAACACGAAGAAAUAGCGAUGCUGCGACUAGAUGACGUGAAAGUUCGAUAUCUUGUGUUUAUAUUACACUUGGAAAGUCUACAAUGUUACUUUGUUUAUGUCUCAAACUCUCACCAUUCUUUUUUUACAAUCUUGAAUUUUUUUUUUAAUUCAAGAAAUGGAGGUUUUAUGUAAUUAUCAAGGUCUGUAUUAAAGGUACAAUUUUAGUUUGUCCAAAGUAAUUGUCUACUUCCG